CCUUGAAAUCCUGGCCUCAAGUGAUCCACUCUCCUUCAGCCUCCUAAAGUGCUGGGAUUACAGGCAUGAGUCACCAUGCCUGGAGUCAUAACUACUUUAGUAUCUAUCUUUAAAAAUUAACAACCCCUACAACAUCAUUAUGACACCUAAAAAGUUUAUCUGUAUCUUAAUGUGAUCAGCUGUCUAGACUGUUCAAAUUCUCUUGUCUCUUCUUAAAUGUUGGUUUGUUUGUAAUGGGUACCACACAAGGUUCGUACAUUGGAUUUGGUUGUUAUUUAUUGAAGUUUAUUUAAUUUAUAAGUUACCUUUUCUUUUCCCCUUUAAAUUAAAAAAGAAAUCUAGUUGUUUUGUCUUUAAGGUUUCCACACAUAUUCUGGAUUUUGUUGAUUUUAUCACUGUGAAGUCAUUAACUUGUUUUUAUGCCUCUUGUAUAUCCUGUAAACAAAUAAGAUUGAUCAGAUUCA